rnacentral:rRNA from 1 species
CCUACGGGUGGCAGCAGUGGGGGAUAUUGCACAAUGGGGGAAACCCUGAUGCAGCGACGCCGCGUGGGCGAAGAAGUAUUUCGGUAUGUAAAGCCCUAUCAGCAGGGAAGAAGAAAUGACGGUACCUGACUAAGAAGCACCGGCUAAAUACGUGCCAGCAGCCGCGGUCAUACGUAGGGUGCAGGCGUUAUCCGGAUUUACUGGGUGUAACGGGAGCGCAGGCGGCACGGCAAGCCUGAUGUGAAAGCCCGCGGCCCAACCGCGGGACUGCAUUGGGAAUUACCGGGCUGGAGUGUCGGGGAGGUAGGCGGAAUGCCUGGUGUAGCGGUGAAAUGCUUAGAUAUUA